rnacentral:rRNA from 1 species
AACGAACGCUGGCGGCAUGCCUAACACAUGCAAGUCGAACGAGACCUUCGGGUCUAGUGGCGCACGGGUGCGUAACGCGUGGGAACCUGCCUUUAGGUUCGGAAUAGCUCAGAGAAAUUUGAGCUAAUACCGGAUGAUGUCUUCGGACCAAAGAUUUAUCGCCUUUAGAUGGGCCCGCGUUGGAUUAGCUAGUUGGUGGGGUAAAGGCCUACCAAGGCGACGAUCCAUAGCUGGUCUGAGAGGAUGAUCAGCCACACUGGGACUGAGACACGGCCCAGACUCCUACGGGAGGCAGCAGUGGGGAAUAUUGGACAAUGGGCGAAAGCCUGAUCCAGCAAUGCCGCGUGAGUGAUGAAGGCCUUAGGGUUGUAAAGCUCUUUUACCCGAGAUGAUAAUGACAGUAUCGGGAGAAUAAGCUCCGGCUAACUCCGUG